GGGGAUGGUGCUAAACCAUUAGAAACCACCCCCAUGAUCCAAUCACCUCCCACCAGGCCCCACCUCCAUCACUGCGAAUUAUAAUUCGACAUGAGAUUUGGGAGAUGACACAAAACCAAACCAUAUCAGUCUUUAAAGAGUUAAGUUAAAAUAAGCUCUUUAAAGUGGGCCCUAAUCCAGUAUGACUGGUGUUCUUAUAAGAAGAGGAGAUUUGGUCACAGACAUGGUUGCAUGCAGAAUAAAGACUUUUCGAGGACACACUGAGAAGGCAGCCAUCUGCAAAACAAGGAAAGAGUCCUCAGCAGAAACCAGUCCUGCAGACUCCUUGAUCUUGGACUUCCAGCCACUGCAAUUGGGAGUGACCUACAAAAUGCAUAAUGUGAAACAAUGCAAAAGCGAAAGGUGCAAAAUCCCCAUCAAAGAGCUGGAGGCUGACAGAUGCGCCAGUGAUAAUUCCCAUCUUCCAACACAGGAGCACAGCUUCCAUUUUCCAUAACAGAACAACAGCCAGAGCAGCUGGAAGGCAGGGCCGCAUCCCAGACUUCCACCAACAAUGGGAUGAGACUUGACAUCUGGAAUCACAACCACAACAGACCUGAGAGACCCACCAGCUUGAUGACAAGCUUCUUCUUUCAAAGAAAGUUUUAGGCGGUCAUGACCAUGGGAUGCUGGACCAGGAUGGUAAGCUUCAGGAAACAGAAUCUGGAGAAUGCCCAGCUGCUCCCACAGGAAGCAUCAGGGAAGAAGAAGAAGAGGUGUGAAGUCUGCCUUCUGCUCUGCUGGGAUCCCUUUCACAUCUCCUUUGCCUCCAGGCAGUUUUGGUUCCUGGCCAUUUCCAGGUGUGACUCACUCAGGAUGGUAAGCAUCUUCUCUCCUACCCAGAGUAGAGGAUGAAGACCUCAUCUCAGAGGUUGAAGGGAGCUCCAGAGAGAGGUCUCAAACUUCCAGCAUUAACUGCUAAAGAAGCUUCAUGAGCUGCUGGAGAACCUGGGAAAUGACCAAUUAUAGGGACAGAGCUCAAAUACUCUGGGACACUCUAGUAGCUGAGAAAGUUCCAACUCCAGGGUGAUAGAGGACUGCCUGGCAAACCAUCAUCAAAGCAGAAGACCUGAUACUAACAUCACAGGCUAUGGUUUAUUACUGAAGAUCAGUGCUUACACCCUGCCAGAGGUUCAGAAGCAAACUUAUCAUUGUUCUCCCUGGAGAUGUUGGCCCACAUUCUGAAAAGUGUGGUCAGUAGUAGCAACAGAAAGCAAUUGUGCUUGCCAAGCACAAUGUCACUGUCCCCAGCCCUUCCCCCAACACAACCCAGUAGGUGCUUCCUGGCUGCAAACUUGGGAAAGUCACUUGACCUGUCUGAGGUUCCACUUCCUAAUCUGGCCUGGCGAAGAUAAGAAAAACAGUUUAUUUAAAGUGUCUAGCAAAGUGCUUGGACCAAAAUAGGACCUCUGAAAUGGUUAUGGUAGUGCUGUUAAGGUGAUGUUUUAAGUGCUGAUGAGCACAAAGAUGGGUAAGAUAUUCCUUCUGUUAAAAUCUACAGUCUAAUGAGAGAGAACAAGAUGAAUGCACAAUAACUGUCAUUCAGAACAGGAUUAUGAGAAGGUGUGAAUUUCUGUGAAAAAUCAGAACAGGGAGUAAUAUGAUCCCAGGUGAUUGGCAGGGGGUGGGGGUCUGGAUUCAACUGGAGAGGGAGCUGGCAGGGAAGGCUUCCUGGAGGAUGAGAGUUCAACAAGGGGCAGGUGUAGGAUGUGGGUGGCCAAGUGACUGGGCAGAAGGAGCUGCAGAAGUAAGACCCCAAAUCAGGAAGACAAGGGCCUGCUGAGAAACACGAGCUACAAAGUGCAAGUGCAGGAAGAGUUGGGAUGAGAUUAGAAGGGGGUCUGGGGCCAGACUGUGGAAGGCCCAAAUGCCGGGCUAAGGAGUUUGUACUUAAUUCAGUGGUCAACGGGGAGUCAUUGGAGGCUGUUGAGCAGGAGAGUUGCUUUCUUUACAGCUGUGCCAGACUAAAUUAAACCUAAACAGUACUUUAUAGCUGGAAAGGGAAGGCCCAGGAAUAGCUCUUGACUCAGAAACAGGCAUUGGGGAAGGUAAUGAGAAACAGCCGUGACUGAUCAAAGCAGAGAGGUUAAUUAAAUUUGUAAUUAUUGUGAAAGGCCAUUAAAAACCCUAGUUCACUAGAGAUAACUGCUCUAGUGGGGCUUCAAAGACAAACGCUUCUUUUAACCUUGAAUAGGGGGAUGUUUGCUUCUCUGUGGAGGAGAUAUGAUUAAGAUACUUAAUAAAUGGUAGAUAAACAUGCACACGUGUGUGUUCUCUGUAAACCCACUCUUCGUCCCUGCAUAUAUCUGUGUAGCUAUGUAGGGUGCUCCACAAGAGGGGUCCCCAGCCCCCAGGCCAUAGAGCGUUAUGGGUCCAUGACCUAUUAGGAACCAGGCCACACAGCAGGAGUUGAGCAGAGGGCAAGCAAGCAAAGCUUCAUCUGUAUUUACAGUC
rnacentral:lncRNA from 1 species